GCCCCCGUAGCUCAGGGGAUAGAGCGCCGGAUUCCUAAUCCGUAGGUCGCAGGUUCAAUUCCUGCCGGGGGUACCA
rnacentral:tRNA from 1 species